ACAUUAGUUCAUCUUUAUUUCUCCACCACCGAAACUAAAACAAAGAAGAAAAAGAAAAGAAACUUAGGGUUCGUGACUUUCAAGCUUAAUCCAAGAUCAAGAAACAAAAAGAUCGGAAGUGGAUCGAGGGAAAACAAAAAUAGUGAAUAGUCAAACUUUAUCGUCUGUCGAUAUCCGAAAUUUUGGAGAUUGUUACGUGCUCGGGAUCAUCAGUGAAGCUCAUCACACUAUCGUCUAUAUUUUGGUACUCUUGAAAGCUUAAAUUUGAACUUAUGCCAUGUAUAAACUAUUCUAUCUUUUGAAUCCAUUUUGAAUGAGAAGUGUAUUUAAGCCAUGCGAAAAUGGCUUAAUUAUUAUAUGUUAUGCUUGGUAUAAAACCUUCUUGGUUAGAUGUUUUGAUAUGUUUGGUUUGAUGGUUUAGUUGCGAUUUAAAUCCAUUUGAUAAGUAUAGAUUAUAAUUUGCAUAACUGAUAUAUAUAUAUAUAUAUAUAUAUAUAUAUAUAUAUAUAUAUAUGUUCGGCAAUAGGGUGUUAAUUAACAGAACAUAUAUACUUUUAAAUUUGUGCAUAUGUCAUUGUUGUUAUAUGAAUUGAUUGAGUUAUAUCAAGUUAUUAUGAUAUUUGGAUGUAUUAA